rnacentral:lncRNA from 1 species
CACAUGUGAGACUGGGCAUGAUUCAGAAAAGUUGGAAGAUCUAGAGAGGGAUCUUGCAAUCUGAAGUUUCUUGUUUAGUCACUGGAGGUAAGCCCGAGAAUUUGCAUUUCUGACAAGAUCCCAGGAUCUGAACGUCUAUGACACUCUUUCGAGCUGACACAGUGAAGAACAUAGAAGGAGAACUCACCCAGUCUGCCAGGGUCACAGAAUGAUCAUACUCAAGAUCUUCCUGGGGAGUCAAUGGCAAAUUUCACUGGGCUAUUUUACAGAUGAAGAAGGAACAUAAAGAAGGUUCUGGGACCCCGAAGUCCACGGAACACCCACCAUUACCUGAUCUUUGGAGCUUGUCAUUUGGCCAGUGGACCCUAAUAAACGUCCACGGGGAUGUGGGGAUAGAAUGCCAGAGCCUGGCUCGCUAGGGCAUCCAGGUUCUUCCUUCCUCUUUGCCCUGCUGUCUCCAGGCACCAAGAAUCUCCUACAGUUCCCCAAAGAUGAACCCCCCAUUAUCUCAGGUCACUCUGUUUCCCCCGAUCUUUACCAAAUUCCUGACUCAGAGUUCCUCCCAUUUGCUUCUGACUCUCAUUUUAUUCUUACCUCUCAUUUUAUUCUUAUGAUGUUUACCAUUUCUCUUCUCCUCAGUGUCCCUCUCUGAGUGGUAAGAGUAUGUUAAUAAGCCAGUGCUGAGACCGGAGCACGAGGCAACUGCUCAAUGUUGGUCAUUGUCACUGUUAU